CUAAUCUGAUCCCUACCGAGAUGUUCAGGUUCCGAUCUGUUGAUCAACUCAUGUCGUUAGCUAAUACUAAUGUUGAGCUUCCACGUAUGUCAUCAUCUGUACUCCGUCCGUUAUAAGUUAACGUUAGUAUUCAUAGAUCUUAUACUAGAUAACCUUUUUUUACAGACAUCAUUGGUGAGGUUUCCGAUAUCAGGACAACAUACAAUGAUCACACUCAGACAACUCAAUGAGUGAUGGUUAACCAGAGUAGAUAAGUAAUUUCUACAGGUGCUAAGGUGGUUUUGGCGAUCAAUAUUAGCCCUAUGUUGGUUGGAGGUGAGCUGCUACGCCAUGUUAAGCUUUUUAAUAUAUAGUCCCGAUCUAACCUUCUACUUAUACUAUGUUUUACAAAUUCUCUGAGCAUCAAACGACUGUCAGUAUAGAAUGUUGAUGAUUCCUGGUUACUUAUUAUAUAUUGAUUGAUGGUUUCGGCAUUCGACGAGUUACUGAUUAAUAAGUUAGGUUAGACUGUUUUUUCUUUCUUUUUUCGGACCAAGUUAGGUUAGACUAUAGUUUAAACAAUCUCUUUUUUUUUUAGUUUAAACAAUAUCAUUCCAUCAACUACCUCGACCAUUAGAGAAUGUUGAUGAUUCCUGGUUCUGUAUUAUAUAUAGCUGGGUUCUGCUGAUUAAUAAGUUAUGAUCUCUGUUGUAUGCUCGGUGUAAAUACAAGGUUGGCUCUCUCUCUCUCAACGCUACCUCAGGCACUCAUUUCUACUUUGACAAGGAGUGGCACAAGCAGUGCUUAACUGCAGAAGGUUUGUGAGAGUAAUGAAGGACCAUCAGAGGUUGCAUUGCUGCUGCCAUGGCUGAUGGAGAAAGAGCUACUGUUUAUGAUUCAGUUGAGACCCCUGUUGAUGCCAGUAACACUGGAGAGGAAGAAAUAGAUUAAGAGGAGAGGAGUUCUGCCAAGAAGACACGCAAAGACUAGACAGUCCGGUGGACACUCUCACUGUUAUGUUGCAUUACAGGCUUUUUCAAUUUUCACAUUACCAAUAACUACAACAACUUCUCAGUGAAAACCAUGUUCUGGUUUUUAUAUUUUUAUGUGUAUUUCAAAUUUCAACUAGACUCUGCAUUCUCAAGUUAAUAAAUUUAUUUUCGUUUCUUGCCUAUUCCUUAUUUUUUGGUAUAAUGACUCAUGAACUAUCACUUGGCCUUAAUUUUGUCAUAUAUUUGUUGCUCUCAUUACGUAUUGCACUCCAUUAACCCGAUGUCAAAGUUAAAUGCCCACAUGGAUCUAACAUUUGAAUAGUAUAUUAUUCCACUUCCACCCAAAAAGCAUUCAUAAACUAAUGCACGAUAUGUUUGUUCAUAUUAUAACACUGCUAACAUGCAUCAUGGAAACCUGAAACUCGGCAGAAAAUAACACAUCAGUUACGUCCGAGUAUAGCCAGAUCGAUUAUCUUCUCAAACGGCAGAACGCGCCGGGGACAAAAAAGACGUCAACUGUCAGUACGAGUAAUUUUGAAUCGACAGCUAUCCACAAAACACAAUUACAAGUCUCCAACGGAAUAAAUCAUACUGAAUUUAAUAAAGUUCGGACAUUAGUGUAUUUAUACAAUUUACAGUAAAAUUCAGUUUGUUCUGACUUAACAUUGAACCAUAUACUGUAUAUUAACAAAACAUCAAAUGCUUCAUAAGCAAUCUUUAUAGGAAAUAAUACAUCAAAUAGUUAUGGUUUUUUAUUAUUUUUUUAAGGUUUAGCCUAAAUUUUAAUGGUCAAAAAAAGAAACAAUUGUGGAAUUCAUUAUUUUCAAAUUUUUGUUGAUGUGAGUUUGAAGAAACAUAAAAACCCAACUUAAAUAUAUUUUUCUCAAAUAUAAUAAUACAUAAAUAUAUAACCUAACAUGUUAUUUAUAAAUAUUAAACAGUAACAAUUAAUAUCAUAUUUUUAUGCUACUUGCAUUUUUCUUAAAAAAAAUAAUAAAUUGGCUUUUCUUUUUCAAACUGUUUAAAUUAUAAAAUUAAGAAGAAAUGUAUUAAAAAUCUAUUAAAUUCAAGAAACGAAAAUAUUGUGAACAAAAUAAUUAUAUUUUUAUAAAUUAUUUUGAUAUAGUAACAAAUAUAUAAUUUCUAAAAAAUAGUAAAAUUUGCAGUAAAAAUAGUGAAAACUAUAAUUUAAAUAAAUUAAAAAUUAAAGUAUAUUUAUAUUAUUUUGUUCAUUUGCUUACCCGCCCGUAGGGCGGGUCCGACCCUAGUUAAGAUAAUAUUCUAGAUUUAUAGAAUUAUGUGAAUGUACAAGAUUAAUGAUACAAAUUUUUAAAAGAACGAGGACAAAAAUGU